rnacentral:piRNA from 1 species
GACAUGACAGGACCACUACAGUCAUGAA